ACAGCCGGCACGCUAAAAUCUUCGAUCCGCUGCUUGUCCCAGCUUAUCACCUACAGCGCAAUAGACAGCGAAAAAUCUUGGUCUGCAGGCAUGGCUGCCGCGCAUGCCGGCCAUGCAGGAGCGGCUGACGGCAUGGCAGCGCUCGAUGAAACGUCACGAUUGGGAGCAGCGCCGGCACCACGAAGCCCAAGCGGCACGCCUCGUCGACGUGCAAGUCCAGCAGCGCUUCCUGAGCGUAAGAGACUGUCUGCCGUUAUGCGGUUGGGAGUAAUGUCCAUGUGUGGCGCUUGUCUCGUGAUAUAUGUGCUCACAGACGCACGGGAAGAACGUGUGCUUAAAGAGGGAGAAAAAGAGAAAGAAGAGCGUUUGCAGUCACGACCCGCUGCCGCCGUCGCCCAGCCCGCCUCUGGCUGCAAACCCGCCGCACGGACUCCUGGAGUGCGAUCCGUCUCCUGCUGCCGGCGCUGCUGCAAGGCCGCAGGACUGAGCACAUCAUGAUGCCUCACAUUAUGACAACCCUCGCCGGUCCCCGGCUGGCCAUGAGGGAGGCCAACGGCUGGCUCCAGAGGCAGCAACGAGCUCACGCCAUGACAGCCGGGACGGUUAAAUCUGCCAUCCGGUGCCUGUCUCAGUUGAUUGCCUAUGUGGCCAUCGGCAGCGACAACCUGGGCCUCCAGGCGUGGCUGCCGCACA